rnacentral:sRNA from 1 species
UUUGAAAACAAUUUUGUUAGUAAAAUAAAAAAAAAAAAAUUAAGAGCACAAAAAAGUUUCGUUUGCUUCCCUUUCGAGGUGAGCUUAAUGAUAGAAGAUUUAUCUUGCAAGGGAAAAGGAAAGCCAGAGAUAACAACAUACCCGCAACUGUGGGAUGCGUUCCGCCCUGGGUUAGGGAACUUUUCAAUCACAUUAGGUGUGGAAGCUUCAAGGGCCAUACAUUGGUAAGUGGUGCUUCGAAUGGAAUAUACUGCGAAAACGUGUUUACGAUUGAUGGACUUGUUUUCCACACGACUACAAAUGCCUACAUGGUAUACACAUGUUGUUUGUGCAUCGAUUGGAAGUUGUAUUGAUGGCUUGGAACGUUAGACAACGGCAGCGGCUCUCGAUUUAGCUCCGUGUGUCCAGGUACAAGUCCCGGCCUGGCUCUGUGGGAUCGAGUUUUUUUUACAGUUAGAGUAAAUAUCAUAUAUUUAAUUGAUCAAUAAGCUCGUCUCUCAAGAGAAAGAAACGAGUAAUUAUAAAUUAUGGCUUAGAGGAUUUUUAACCUAAAAUAACUUGAAUUUGAAAACAUACAAAGUCAAAUAUAUAAGGGAGCCAGAAACAAAACUCUGUCUCUACCUGUCCAAUAUAGACCCCAGUUUCGAUUAAAUAGCGAAGCAUGAAAUACCAGAGUCCCGUUAAUUCAAGAAAGCGUAUAUUGUAUUUGACCUCAAUCUUCCUUUCCUGACCGGGAAGGCUUACAACAUUGGGAAAAUAUCCGCAGACUUUAUAAUAGGACGCGUCGUAAAAGGAUGGCAGUUUCUUGAAACUUGUGUUUCAAACGGCUAAAAUGUAACAAUAAAUUUAUCAGCCACCAAAAUGUA